AGAAAAGCCAGGGAGUAAGCAGGCUGAGGUGAACAGAGAAGCCGCAGCUUUCAACUCCUCCCAACUUCCUUUUCUCCCUGCAGAAGCUAGAGGACCAACUCGAGACAGCAGUGAGGACGUGACUGCUGCAGCUUUACAGCCAGGGGCACCUAGAGGCAGCCAGAGGCAGAGCCCCGGCCUAUGCCAGGAGAAUACCGACUGAGGGCAUGGAUCCACAUGGGGCCCUUUUCUUCUGCCUGUGCCUUCUGGCUGCUCAAGUUGUCCUAGUAGAAACCGUGUCGGAUCUACUGAACUUGAUGAAGCACCUUGAGCAGCCCAAAGGCCGGGGCUUGUCUUCCAGAGCGAGGUAUAUCCACCGCCUGGAGCAGAUGUUGCUCAAUGUCAGCUUCAGUGGACACAACCUGACCUUGCAGACAAACUCCAUCCAGUCUCUGGUCUUCAAGCUGAGCUGUGACUUUCCUGGUCUCUCCCUGUCCAGCGCCACACUGACAAAUGUCUCCCAGGCAUGGGCCCCGCAUGCCAUGCAGUUCCCUGCUGAGCUGACCAAGGCUGCCUGUGUGACCUCCCAGCCUGCAGAGCUUCGACUCAUCUGUAUCUAUUUCUUCACUGCACACCUCUUUCAGGAUGACCGGAACUCAUCACUGCUCAAUAACUAUGUCCUGGGGGCGCAGCUGGAUCACAGGCCUGUGAACAACCUUCAGAAGCCAGUCAACAUCAGCUUCUGGCACAAUCAGAGUCUGGAAGGGUACACAGUAUCCUGUGUCUUCUGGAAAGAGGGAGCCAGCAAGCACAGCUGGGGGGCCUGGAGCCCCGAAGGCUGUUAUACCGAGCAACCCUCAGCCACUCAGGUUCUCUGUCAUUGCAACCACCUCACCUACUUCGCUGUGCUCAUGCAGCUCUCUGGAGACCCGGUGCCCACUGAGUUGCAGGGGCCUCUUGAGUACAUCUCCCUGGUGGGUUGCAGCAUCUCCGUUGUGGCCUCACUGCUCACCAUACUGCUGUAUGCUCACUCUAGGAAGCAAAGCGAUUCCACCACACGCAUCCACAUGAACUUGCAUGGCUCCGUUCUGCUCCUGAAUGUCACCUUCCUUCUGAGCUCCCAGAUGGCCCUGCCCACAGUGCCCAGGCCAGUCUGCAUGGUGCUGGCUGCCACUCUACACUACACACUGCUCAGCAGCCUUACCUGGAUGGCCAUCGAAGGCUUCAACCUCUACCUUCUCCUGGGGCGUGUCUACAACGCCUACAUCCACCGAUACUUGCUCAAGCUCUGCAUGCUGGGCUGGGGGUUUCCAGCGCUCUUGGUGCUGCUGCUUCUGGUGGUCAAGAGCUCGGUGUAUGGACCCUGGGUGAUCUCAUUCUCCAAAAGCCAGGAAAAUGCUACAGGCUUCCAGAAUGUGUCCAUGUGCUGGGUCCGAAGUCCCACGAUACACAGCAUUCUGGUCAUGGGCUAUGGUGGCCUCACAUCUCUGUUCAACCUGGUGGUGCUGGCCUGGGCUCUGUGGAUCUUGUGCAGGCUCCGGGCACGGGAGAAGGCACUGAAUCCCUGGGCCUACCGGGACACUGUCAUGGUGUUGGGCCUCACUGUGCUGCUGGGCACCACCUGGGCCCUGGCCUUCUUCUCCUUCAGUGUGUUCCUGCUGCCUCAGCUCUUCCUCUUCACCAUCUUCAACUCGCUCUACGGUUUCUUCCUCUUCCUGUGGUUCUGCUCACAGAAGCGUUACUCAGAUGCUGAAGCCAAGGCAGGGAUGGAGGCAGUCAGCUCCUCCCAGAUGACACACUAACCCAGCUCCCACCCUGCAGCCCCAGCUCUCACUACUUCCAGCAGCCCAUGGCCUUGGCUCAUCCAGGGAAGGUGGGUAGGCUGGCAUCAGGACAACAGAGUCUACCAUACCCUUCGGGGACCCUUUCCACCUCUCGGAAUUACCUGGGGCAGAUGGAAGCUUGUGACUCUUCAUCCUGGUCCUUCAUGUCUGGAUGCAGCUCCAUUGGCAAGGCUAUGGACAGAGCCCUGGCUUGGAAGUCAGGGAGCUACACUAGACUGGACCCCAACUUGCACCCUGCUCAGCACUUACAGACACUUACAGGAUUGUGGCCGAUGCUUGGGGCCACUCUUUCUUUUACCAGUCCCAGGUGUUGGUGACUUCAACUUUCUAUCUUUCCAACAGUCAGGAAACCCAGCCCUUCCUCCUCAUUCUAACCCCCACAGAUGGUAUAGACCAACAGCCAAGGCCAGGCCUCUGUCUCUUUCCCUGAAGCUGAGCCAGCUGGGCUUGAGGGGUCUAGAUCCUAGACUAUUAUUGCUUAGACGCGUGUGUUCAACAUUUACAAACUCUCUGCCCAUAGUGGGAGAACAUCUGCGCUGCCUGUCAGAUCAGGUGGGAGUAAAGACCAGGUGCUUAUUAAGUCGGUGCUAUUCCCAGGAUGGACAGAAGGGGGCGGUGUUGGCCCAUACGCCAAGGCAUGGUGCCAAAACUGCUCCUGGAAAUGCAGAUGUUACCUUUCAACCAGUAGGCAAGUAGGGACCUCCACACAUCCAUUGUCUCUUUCCCUAUGCAGAUGACCAAGGUGGCUUUUGGGACUUUGUGCCAGGCUUUGUGCUCAGGCAUUCCUGGCAUCAGGGCAGCUGGUUGGGUAGAUUCUCAGGUCCCGUGCGAGCCGUUAGACACAUGUACUUGAACAGUAAGGAGAUCGGAGCUGGACACCAUCCUCUGCAGAGGGUCCUCUUUCUUUCCGGGUGUUUCUGGGUAAUUACGUUCUUAGCUCUUCACUAGCUAGAGAGAGGUACAGGUUCUGGGCCAGGUUGCCUGGGCUCAGAUUCCAGCUCUGUGCCUUAGUUUGCCCAUCUACAGCAGGGACAACAGUAGUAACUCUUAGGAAGGUUCAGUAAAAGAAAGGAUCCACUCAGGUCUUGCCACAGUGAGGUCUCAAUAGAUGGUUACUGUGUCAGUAUAUUUGUAUUUGUAUUAUUAUUUGUGUGUGCAUGCGUGUGUGGUGUAUGUGCACCUAUGUGCCCUUGCACGUGUAUACUGAAGCCAGAGAAGGCUGUUGGGUGUCCUGUUCUAUGACUUUUUGUCUUAUUCCCUCAAGACAGGGAUUCUCACCAAACAGGGAGCCAGGCUGACAGCAAGCAACCCCAGUAACCUAGUAACCUAGUAACCUAGUAUCAGGAGCUUAUUUUCGCCACCUGCAGGACACCCUUCUCCCCCACCCCUCCCUCCCACACCAGUGCUAGGAUUACAGGCUCCUUUGACCGGACUUGGCUUUUUACUUAGGUGCUGGGGUCUGAGCUCAGGGCCUCAUGUUUGUGCACAAAAGCUUUUAUGUAUUGACCAUCUCUUCAGCCCCCAUUAUUGUUAACAGCUUUAACUGAUGCAAGCUGUUCAGGUGCUGUUGGACCCCACAGCUCCUUCUUAGGCAUAUCCUUCCAUUCCUGUUUUGUGGCUCCCCUCUCCCACUCUUCUUGGAGGAGAACCUUGCUCAGACCUUCUGGUCCCUACUGAACCGCUGAUGUUCCUUACACAGUGCGGCUUCAGGUUAGCCCACAUCUCCACUCCCAGGUCCUGAGUCCUCCAUUGGUCCAUUUAUCAUAUCCUUCAUGAAUCCUCCUCCAUUUGCCCACAGGGAAGGCCUCAUUCCCACUCUGGUUCCAGGCAGUAUCCUUCACCAGAUCCCCAUGGUUAUUCCAUCAUGGGGAUCUUUGGUCUGGGUCUCCAUGCUAAUGAGGGUGCUGUGGGAUCAUGGGACUUGAGACAACUGGGUAGAUGGGAAGGCUCAGGUGUAGCAGGGCCUUGCUCAAGUUCAGGGCCUGGCCUCUCAGAGCAAGUAAGCCCAGGGCCACACAAUGGAGGGUGUGGCCACAGUGACAGUCCUAAGUCUGUGGCUCUGAGCCCCACUGGGGAUCCAGGCUGUGGGGUAGCCCUUCAUUUGCUAAGGAUAUAUAAAUGAACAAGUCAUCACAUUCUUGUGUGGGGGCGUCCUACAAGAAGCAGUUUAGCAAACGGAUAUAAAAUAUGACAGCUGGUACCAUGGACUGUGAAGAAACAUAAGAAGCAUGUGAGCCACCAUGAGGGGCAGUCCACAGAGAGGAAAAGGAGACGACAGAACAGACACCAAGAGGCCUCAGAUGUUUAAAAGAAUAAAAGCUGCAAUGACAUGAUAUGUAUAUAACCAAAUGAAGGGAAGAGCCAGGAGUUGCUUAUAAGGCGAGGAGAGACAUGACAUGAAAUGUGGGAAGAGAAACAGAGGCAUGGAGAGCAGAAUCAGAAAAGUCUCAACGAUGAAAUCCCGAGAGAAGAAACUAAAAGCAAUGAGACAGUCACAGCAGUUACAGGUUUUCUCAAAGCAGGCCCACAGGACCAGGAGCAUGGCGCUUCUCAGGGAGGAUGCUGGAACAUGGACCUGCACUUUGCCCCUCUGAGGGAAACUUCAGAUGUAGAGAAGUGAGGGGAACGGUCACAGAGAAAGGACAGGACGGAGAAAGGACAGUGUGCACCACGAGCUCCUCCAUUGUAGCCACAAUGAUAGGCUUCGAGACCACUGUAGGGUCCCCAAAGGGAGGGGAACAAAGACAUGUCGGUCAGAAUUGCCUGCAGCACACAGCCUUUCAUACACUAAGACACAAAGGAAAAUAUGUUCCUUUUAACAUUGAAAGGUAAAUAAAAGCUGACAGCAA